AUUUUCCACCAUCAAAAACCAAAAGCCACCGUAUACGAAAAAUAUAUAACGCUUCAAAAACAACGGUUUCUUUUCCAACACAUUCUUUACUUUCUCUGCUCCCCUUCUUUCUCUGUAUUCAUCCUUUUUAUCUUUCUAUUUUCCUAUUAUCCUCUUUGCUUCACCUUUAUUGAUUUACUUUAAUUCCUUAGUUAAUCUCUAAAUUCUUUUCUCACCAUCGUUUCCAAUUGCUUUUUCCAGUUACUUUCGCUUUGAUUGUUCAUUCUGCUCCGUCUUUCACUUACUCCUUGCCAGCGCAGAACAAGUGGAUAACAAUUGCUUAUUUUGACGCCCAUGAAGUGUUCGAAAAUAUGCCCCAUAGUUGACCUUGCCCACGGAUUCAAGAUAUGCUGCAAAUUUACUCAACACUUGCCGGUUGAUAGAUGGUAGUGCAAACUAACAAAAGGCCGUCAAAAGAUUCAAUUUUACCUUCUCCAUUCGUAUUUGAGGUUGGAUUGUCCUCUCGCCUGACUAGGUACCUGGCACGUGAUGUUGCAGCUCUUUAAGAUACUACUAUUCAGAAGGACACCGGACAUUUACAUCACUUUAUUGGGGAAUGAGGCCGGUAAUGUGCUUAGAUGUAUGGUUCUCCUUUAUAAUUGAGUACCACCAAUAUAACACAACACAAAUUAUUUAAUUGCCACGAGGUUAGUGUAUUAGUCUUCUCGAGUUAUCCUUCUGUUCUAGCAUUUUAUUCUGUAAUGAUAAUUGCAGUCAUUUGAGAUUAUGAAAGUAGAGCUUUCACAAAAUUAUCAUGAAUGCUUAUGAGAAACAUAUGAUCUUCCUCCCUUGAGUUUUGGUUAUUGAAUAUGAAUUUUUUGUAUAUACGGAAAGUAAGUAAUGUUCACAUUAUCUUUGCAUGUGUAUGGAACUUAAUUAAAAUUUGUCAAUAAUUUAUAUAUAAAUGUAAAGCUAAAAAAUUAAAAUCUAAUGGGGAACCUCCCCAUGCUCACGGAUGUACUAUUUAUCUCUCUUCUUUUUUGUUUUGGAAUUUCCCCGUCUACAUGAUUCUUAAAUAAACCCACAAGGAAAAACACAUCACUUUUGAAUUGCUUUACAACUUCUCAUUUUUUUAAAUAUUUAUUCAGUCGGGUGAUUUAUACACAGUUUAUUUGCCUUGGUGCAGUUUAUUCAGUAGAGCAGAGAUGAGCAACUUCGUCAACAUUGAAUUUCUCUUUGGAUCAGUUUGUGUUUCCUCAACUCUCAGUAUAUUUUUGUUUCCACAUUAUUACCUCCAGUUUAUAGUUAUAAAAAAGUAAAUUGUCCAAUUAAGUUUUCAAAUAAACUAUAGUAAAUAUUUAUCCCGAAAUGCGAAUUUGGUUCGUUAGGUUCCUUACUUCUUUGGCGAGAACCAAAAUAAAUAUGUUAAGAAUUUUGUUAAGAUAUGUUUUCCCUAUAAUUAUAAAGAUUUUAGCUUUCUGAUUUGUCUUUAACUAUUACAACUAUUUGUGAGGUCAUCACUUGUGUUGCAAUGAAAUUCUACGUUCUGAGGCCUUAAAACCUCC